GACGAACGCUGGCGGCGUGCUUAACACAUGCAAGUCGAGCGGUAAGGCCCUUCGGGGUACACGAGCGGCGAACGGGUGAGUAACACGUGGGUGACCUGCCCCCAACUCUGGGAUAAGCCCGGGAAACUGGGUCUAAUACCGGAUAUGACCUUCUGUCGCAUGAUGGUUGGUGGAAAGUUUUUCGGUUGGGGAUGGGCCCGCGGCCUAUCAGCUUGUUGGUGGGGUGAUGGCCUACCAAGGCGACGACGGGUAGCCGGCCUGAGAGGGCGACCGGCCACACUGGGACUGAGACACGGCCCAGACUCCUACGGGAGGCAGCAGUGGGGAAUAUUGCGCAAUGGGCGAAAGCCUGACGCAGCGACGCCGCGUGGGGGAUGACGGCCUUCGGGUUGUAAACCUCUUUCAGCACCGACGAAGCGAAAGUGACGGUAGGUGCAGAAGAAGGACCGGCCAACUACGUGCCAGCAGCCGCCGUAAAAC
rnacentral:rRNA from 1 species